GUUGGGCCAGUAACCAGCAGGUAGCCUAGGGGUUAGAGUGUUGUGCCAUUAACCAGCAGGUAGCCUAGUGGUUGGAGUGUUGGGCCGAUAACCAGCAGGUAGCCUAGUGGUUAGAGCGUUGGACUAGUAACCAGCAGGUAGCCUAGUGGUUAGAGUGUUGGGCCAGUAACCAGCAGGUAGCCUAGUGGUUAGAGUGUUGGGCCAGUAACCAGCAGGUAGCCUAGUGGUUAGAGCGUUGGGCCAGUAACCAGCAGGUAGCCUAGUGGUUAGAGUGUCGGGCCAGUAACCAGCAGGUAGCCUAGUGGUUGGAGUGUUGGGCCAGUAACCAGCAGGUAGCCUAGUGGUUAGAGUGUCGGGCAGUAACCAGCAGGUAGCCUAGUGGUUAGAGCAUUGGGCCAGUAACCAGCAGGUAUACUAGUGGUUAGAGCAUUGGGCCAGUAACCAGCAGGUAGCCU
ensembl:lncRNA